rnacentral:rRNA from 1 species
GACGAACGCUGGCGGCGUGCUUAACACAUGCAAGUCGAACGGAGUGGCGAACGGGUGAGUAACACGUGGGUGAUCUGCCUUGCACUUCGGGAUAAGCUUGGGAAACUGGGUCUAAUACCGGAUAGUGCAAGAUGAGCUCGCGGCCUAUCAGCUUGUUGGUGGGGUAAUGGCCUACGAAGGCGUCGGCGGGUAGCCGGCCGGAGAGGGUGGACGGCGACAUUGGGACUGAGGUACGGCGCAGACGCCUACGGGGGGCAGCAGUGGGGAAUAUGGCACAAUGGGCGGAAGUGUGAUGCAGCGACGCCGCGUGGGGGAUGAAGUCCUUCGGGUUGUAAACUCCUUUCGACAGGGACGCGGUACCUGUAUAAGAAGCACCGGCUAACUACGUGCCAGCAGCCGCGGUAAUUC